rnacentral:lncRNA from 1 species
GCACCUGGGUUGUCUCGAGCCUGCGGUAGUGGCCAGAUCCCAGACAUCCGAGUAGAUCCCGUGAAAAGGUCUCCCACGUGGGCUGUGGACAGGGCCCAAGGGUAGCAGAGCUAGCAGAGGCAGUGACGGACUGUGUGGCAGGUCAUUUGCAAGGAGAAAAGCCGUCUGCCUCUUAAUUUGUGGCUCAAGUUUCAGAAUUUUUUUCCUGAGGGACUUUAGAAAUUACUUCAGGCUUGCCACCUAACCUUAAACCACCCCCUUGGAGACUGGCUAAGUGUUAUUUGUGUUUUCUGUUUAGUUCUUAUCACCAUCGAUACUUGGUUAUGACUGGUUGUGUACAUUGGUUAGCCCAGCAAGUAUUACUUCUCCAGCUUAACAGAUGUGGAAACUUAAGCCCAGAGACAUGAGUUGACACCCCACCCCCAAAGCUAGAGUCUAAAACCCUUUCUUUCGCUCCUCAUCUCCCACAGGAUAAAAUGCAAAUUAAUCAGACUAGUGGUGAGGCCCUCCGUGGUGUGACUAACCUGCAUCCCGACGUUUUCACCCUACUUUGAUCCAGAAAGCACCUUUCCGCCCCAUCUCUUCUCCUUUCCUUAAAUACCCCUUACAACUUCCUGUACCAUUCUUCCCUGUUCAGCUUCUUCUUGGUUUCUUCGUACAUUCUGGAUCCACCCCUUUCAUGCAUAUUCCAGACCACAUUUCCACUGGAGCAGUUGAAAUGAGAGAGAUGGGAAUGGGACUCACCCGAACCAGAGGAAUUUUUAUUACAGACCCAUUAACAGAGGUGUCAAAGUCACAGGAACAAGGAUGUGCACCUCAGAAACACAGAGAAAGACCUUAAAUGCUCUGGGGGAUACGGACUGAAGAGGUGUUGAGAGGUAACUGCAUACCUCUCACUUCUCAGGAACUGCCAGUUCCCUGGGCAGAAUCAG